rnacentral:ncRNA from 2 species
UGUAAAUUAAGAGGAUGCAGUUAUAAUUAGUACAUUAACUUAGAUAGAGGGAAGUCGCAGGUUAAUGGAAAGGUGUAACUGCCGAAGUGUAUUACUUUUCCCUAAGGUAAUGUGCUGGGACUAUACUGAAUAAGUAUGGUACUGUCUAAGGUUGAUUGCCCAAUCUUCCUAAGGUGAGCUAAUUUACGC